CAUGGCUGUCGUCAGCUCGUGUUGUGAAAUGUUGGGUUAAGUCCCGUAACGAGCGCAACCCUUGUCCUUAUUUGCCAGCGGGUAAUGGCGGGAACUCUAGGCGAGACUCCCGGUGACACCGGGGGAGAAGGGGGGGGAGAUCUCAAGUUAUCAUGGUCCUUACGAGUAGGGCUACACACGUGCUACAAUGGUCGGUACAAAGGGUUGACAACUCGCGAGAGUGAACCUAUCCCGAAAAGCCGAUCUCUGUCCGGAUCGGAGUCUGCAACUGGUCUCCGAGAAGUCGGAAUCGUUAGUAAUCGUGGAUC
rnacentral:rRNA from 1 species